rnacentral:rRNA from 1 species
UAGGUAAUCUUCGGCAAUGGGGGGAACCCUGACCGAGCAACUCCGCGUGAGUGAAGAAGGUUUUCGGAUCGUAAAGCUCUUUUGUUAAGGAAGAACGAGUGUGAGAAUGGAAAGUUCAUACUGUGACGGUACUUAACCAGAAAGGGACGGCUAACUACGUGCCAGCAGCCGCGGUAAUACGUAGGUCCCGAGCGUCGUCCGGAUUUAUUGGGCGUAAAGCGAGCGCAGGCGGUUAGAUAAGUCUGAAGUUAAAGGCAGUGGCUCAACCAUUGUAGGCUUUGGAAACUGUUUAACUUGAGUGCAGAAGGGGAGAGUGGAAUUCCAUGUGUAGCGGUGAAAUGCGUAGAUAUAUGGAGGAACACCGGUGGCGAAAGCGGCUCUCUGGUCUGUAACUGACGCUGAGGCUCGAAAGCGUGGGGAGCGAACAGG